GAGGGAACUCGCAUGUCUCGACAUGUAAGGUCAGAGGUGGACCCAACUCCGUUCAACAAGGCAUCUACUGGGUUCAGACCUAUUGCAGGGAUUCCGCGGAACACGCGGCGCUUUGACACCUAGGAUCAUCGGAAUGUUCUGUUGACGUUUGUCAAUUGGAACAAUGGACAUCCUGGUCGGCGGACUGCAUCUGCGGAGUUCCCGUUUUCAACCGUUUUAGGACAAGUGAGUUGUGUUGCGUUGAGGACUGGAGCUGGCAAAAAUGCUUGCAUAAUUGUGGAUCAAAUGAAGACCAGAGCUUUGAAUCCGAAUUGUGUGUGGUCUGUAAAAAUGAAGGAUAUUGGAAUUAUGCAGAAUGCCAAUGUAACAAGAGAUAUUAUGGAAAAUGUUGCGAAUAUCGUGUAAACAUAUGCGAAGCUGUGCCAGCAGACGUCGUAUUCGUACUGGAUUGUUCUGUUAGUCAGACUGAAGGUCAGUUCAAGAAGCAGCUAGAAUUCGUGGAACGCUUUGUCGAUAAAUUCGGACUCAGUAGUUCAUCCUUUCAGAUUGCAGUAGCAACCUUCUCAACCGAGGCAUACACGGAGACCAUCGGCUGACAAAGGAUGCGAUAAAGUUGCAGAAUAAAAUCCGUAGUAUACGAUUUAGACCAGGCGCUACGGACAAAGGGUUUUCUUUAGCCUGUAAUAUGCUUCAAUCACGAGGAAACCGGCUUCUUGGCCUCACUAUUGAGAAGUUCACAUUUGAUCUGACCGACGGAAUGUCAACAGAUCGGAGAUCCACCAAGAGGGAAGCGAUGCAUCUUCGUAGUAUGUCUACUGUCGUUGUCGUGGGUAUUCGUUAAAUGGUUUCACACGAAGAACUACAAAUAAUUGCAUCACCGGCUGACGAGUUUACUCAGUCCUAUGACUUCUCGGUUGAGAAUUUUGAUUCGCUGCAUACGUUGAUUGAUCAACUUACCGAUGCCACAUUAGGAAAAAGUAAUACGAGUAGUCGCACUGAUAUCAUAGCUUUGAUAGACGAUCUUUCAUUAUCAGCCAUGACGACUACGGAGUUUAGUUUAGCUUUGAAUGGAAUUGCAUAUGUAUAUUGCAAAAUUUGAUGGCCUGUGGAAAAGUCAACGGCCAGCGAUUUUGCGUUACGUGUUUUGAUGAUUUUGAAAAUCAGUAUUUGUCUUUAACAAAUAACCAAAAUAUGGACGAAAUGCUAAGUUAUGUACAAGGUAUUCGACAGCAUCACAAAACCUGUCCGACGUCUGAUUGCUCAGCUAACAUUUCACGAAAUAGUUCAACAGUUAUAAAUGAUGUUCUCCUAACUCAAUGUACUAACACGGAUCCAAAGGCAAGAAACGCAUUACUUGUGUUUACGUCUGGCCGCUUUGAUAACAUUGAAAAGGUCCGGGAAGAUGUUGGAGUGCUAACUCGAGAUACAGGUUUCUAUGUGUUUGCUUUAGGCGCAGGGUAUGGCUCGAACAUUGACGGACUUCAAGCCAUUGCACAGGAACCGAGCAAUGUUUUUGUCGUGACAGAAGACAAUUUACAGACACUUGACGCCAUACAGUCCCAAUUAUCGUACAUUAUCUGUUCUUAGUAUUGCACGUAGUUCCCAAUACAUUUAACAUUCAUUAAAAUAUUUGUAUAACAUUUCAAUCUCAACAUUAUUCACAUUGUAUGUUUUGUUAUUAAUAUUGGGCUAAAAGUGAGGUAAGGCUACCAUUCAACGGUUUAAACACCAAAUGCUUUGCAUUGACCGUUCCAAUGCGGUGGCAAGAGGUGUAAUCAUUCUUUUAUAUAGUAUUGCAUUAAUAGCAUUUGUACUCGAUUGGUAGUUUCCUUAAAUAAAAGACUAUGGGGCAAGAAUCUGUCAGAAUGUUUCAGGUGUUUUAUUUAUCUUGUGUAACACGGGCGAAAUGUUAUUUAUUUUGUUUUCUUCUCGGGAAAUCAAACUGUUCCAGAAAC